rnacentral:rRNA from 1 species
UACGUAGGGUGCGAGCGUUGUCCGGAAUUAUUGGGCGUAAAGAGCUUGUAGGCGGUUUGUCGCGUCUGCUGUGAAAAUCCGGGGCUCAACCCCGGACUUGCAGUGGGUACGGGCAGACUAGAGUGUGGUAGGGGAGACUGGAAUUCCUGGUGUAGCGGUGAAAUGCGUAGAUAUCAAGAGGAACACCUGCGGCGAAGGCGGGUUGCUGGGCCGACACUGACGCUGAGGCGCGAAAGCGUGGGGAGCAAACAGG